CUGCUUUACUCAGCAGGUUUCAUCAGGAGGAGCGUCUGCAGCCAAUGAGGUGAAGGAAGCGGCUGCAGGAAAUGCUGAUUUUUAUCGAAAGAUGAAACCAACCAGCCUGAGCACAGACAGCUGGAGGACAAACGGACGGAGUCACAGAAUCAGAUUAGCUUCAGACUAAGAAAGUUUACCUGCAGGAAGAAAGGAGGCAGACUCCAGGGAAGCAUCCGGAGCGGCAGGAGACGAUGGGAAGCGUCAAACUCAAGAGAAUCCAAGAUCUAAAUAAUAUCUGGUGCAGCAUAGUUUGCAAGUUUGUACUUAUAUGUUUGUACAAAAACAUAAAACCUUCCACACAGUUUCCUCUGUGAUUCCAUUGGGAAGCACAGAGGAAACUAUUGAUCAGUAAAACAUCUAUAAAAAGAUGAUUAAACUGCUUUUUGGUGCAAAGGAGUAUGACAAAAAUUCAUGUCAAUGAACCAAAACCCAGAAGAAGUGAAUGAAAAUAUUGGUCCAUUGUUAAGUUUUCAAAGGUUCUAGAACAGAAAGUAGCAGCACAAAGCAGACGCAGAAAGACAUCAGAGCAAUAACUGGUUCUACCAUUAAUCUGGGAACAGUUCAAAGGUCGUCUCCAAACUAUCUGAAGUCCAUUAUUCUGCAGAGGAGAAGAUUAUUCCCAAGAGGAAAACAUAUAAGACAGAUAUUACAUCCAAGCAGUCCUUUGUAAUAUUUCACACCCUGAAUCAAAGCCUUAUUUUAUGCAGCUCUAAUCUGAACAGUCGAAUCAAAUCAUCUCCAGUUUCUUGUUUAAGAACACAAAGUUUCAUUCUCAUCAAUGAGGUUUCAUUUGGACGUAGUCAUCUUCAUACUGAGAACAUCAGAGCUGCUGUUUGGUACCUGACGUCUUCAUGGUUAAGAGUUUUACUUUUUUAUAGGUUUCAAUAGAAAUAUCUGGUCAGUGAAGGUGUGUGCAUGUGUGUGCUUGUGCAUGCGUGUGUGUGUGCGUGUGUUUGUGUGUGUUAGUGUCCAGAUCAGAGAACGACAGCUUUCCUCCGUUCCAGUCCAGAUUCACUCGGAUCUUCUGGAUCUUUUUCUGGACUGAGAGGAAUCUGGGAGGAGCUGCUGACGACUCUGCUAAGUAUUGACCUUUACAGAACCGAUGUUACGGCUUCACAGAGACGAUCCAUCCGACUCUCUGCCCUUUAUACAGUUUCAUGUGGACACAAUCAAGAUGAGGAAGAAGCCCGCUAGUUUCUACUGAAACUAACACAGAGGGUUCUGAGUCGAGAUUCAGUCCUUCAAAAACUGAAUCUGGAGGGACCAGCUCUCCCCUCUGCCCUGGGACACCAGAGAGUAGCUGCAGUUGGGACACGGAUGUCUGGUUUCCCUCCUGGGCCUGUUGCCCCUUUGACCUGAAAAAAUGGAUGUAUGAUUAAUAUUGAUAAUUUAUGAUAGAACUAUGUGAGUCCAGGGUGAACCCGCUUCUCGCCCGUUGACCUUUGGAGAAGUUCACCAGCACCCUGUUGACCUUAUUAAGGAUAAGAGUGUGAGAUAAUGGAUGGAUGACUGUAUCUAUCAGCUGUUCUUCCUGUCAGCACAAAACCUUCUGGCUUUUAUGUACCUAUCAUGAAAAAUAACAAUUUUUCA